UCCGGCUUGACGCCGGCAGUCCCCCGAGAGUCCUCAGCUUGACCUGUUAGUAACACGGGGCAAGGGUUGCGCUCGUUGCGGGACUUAACCCAACAUCUCACGACACGAGCUGACGACAGCCAUGCAGCACCUGUCCUGGUGUCCCGAAGGAGGGCCCCACUUUCAUGAGGCUUUCACCAGGAUGUCAAACCCAGGUAAGGUUCCUCGCGUCGCGUCGAAUUAAACAACAUGCUCCGCUGCUUGUGCGGGUCCCCGUCAAUUCCUUUGAGUUUUAGCCUUGCGGCCGUACUCCCCAGGCGGGGUGCUUAAUGCGUUAGCUUCGGCACCUCAGGGGUCAAUACCCGAAGCACCUAGCGCUCAUCGUUUACGGCGUGGACUAC
rnacentral:misc_RNA from 1 species